rnacentral:rRNA from 1 species
UACGUAGGGCGCAAGCGUUGUCCGGAAUUAUUGGGCGUAAAGAGCUCGUAGGCGGUCUGUCGCGUCGGCUGUGAAAGCCCGGGGCUCAACCCCGGGUCUGCAGUCGAUACGGGCAGGCUAGAGUGCGGUAGGGGAGACUGGAAUUCCUGGUGUAGCGGUGAAAUGCGCAGAUAUCAGGAGGAACACCAGUGGCGAAGGCGGCUCACUGGUCCGGUACUGACGCUGAGGUGCGAAAGCGUGGGGAGCAAACAGG